UUACCUUGGUAAGGGGGAUUCAAAUUUAGGCAAGUGAUUUUUUAUUGAGUCAAGCAAAGUUGACAGAGGAAUUCACAAUGAAGUAAUUACAAAACUCUGAAGUUACUAGUCAGUCUUGGGAAGGAUUCUAUAGAUUUAAGACUUGAUUUUGAAGAGAUCUUUGCAAUUCUAUAUUGAAUAACACAAAGUUGCUCUUUUAUGAUAGUAACUUUUGAACUCAAAACUUGUAUAGUGGGAGAGGCCAUACUUCUUAAAGUCCCUCUCCCCCUCUGCCCACAAAAAGAGAAGUCGGUAAACAAUAUCUAUUAAAUAAAAAGAUUCAUAGUUGUAUAGUUUAUCAUAUCUGCAUUCUUGGAAUUACUUAAUGAGGGCAUCCACUUACAAGGUGUAUUUUUUGUUCCGCACUUCAAAUUCAUAGUGUGAUUAAAUUCAUGCUUGUCCAUUAGCUUCUGUCAGGAUAACAUGCUUUGACAAAAUUUCGGAGCAAAUUGGUGUUAUGUUCUAAAAGUUGGAACACGUCAGCAGUUUCUAGUUCUACUUCUGUACUUGAUAUAUGAACCAUUGCCUCUUCUAAGAGUAAAAAAUAGCAGAAGGGAUAGUUCUUAGUAUCCGGUUAAUUUUCAUUGUUAUUAGAUACAAUCAUCUGCUUCUAUAGAGGAAAAUUGCUAGGAGUACACAUACAUCCCUAUGUAUCUUAUUUGGUUGUAUAUUUCAGGAUCGUGGGAUUUUCCAUGAUGGUAGCUAGGAAAUAACUGAUUGAAGGCACGAGCAAUUCAAGAGAACUUUCUUGCAAGAUCUUAUCCCCAAGGAGAAGUUGUUCUUGAAGGAAGAACUAUGGGUAGAUAACUUUGGUUAUUAUCCUGAAUGUAGAUGUAGAGUUGGAAGAUCCAAGAACCGUAGCAGAAGCACUUGCGCGGUCAAGACAGGGUUAGCAAGGUUUAUUUUUGUUUGGUAAAAAAAUCCCACUUCCUUUUUUCAAGUCUUAUAGAGAAUUUGCAGUGAAGAAUCUGAUGAGAAUGCAAAGCAGGAGAGGCUUGAUAGAAUUUCACGGAUGACUGAGAUGGAGCACCUUCAGGCACCUCAUGAUCACCCUCUUGCUCCACUUUGUAUCAAGGAUCCUCGUGAUUACUUUGAUUCCCAACAACUUAAAACUUCUGAUGAUACACGAGCUGGAACAGAACAAUUAAGAUGUAGCCUGAGCUCUGAGGAAGCAUAUGGUUCUUUUAUGGGUUCAGUAUCGGAGAUAAUGGCUGUGGGCUUAAGUGAUCCCAUAGUCAGACCUGAGGAUUCAGAUCCUUAAUGGAUUGACCCAGAACAUUUCAAGUACCAAAUGUCAGCUUGGGAAGAAUGCGCAAGAGAGUACUAAACAGCUUGCCCAACACAACUAAAGAGGAACUCAUGUGAGUAGAUGUGUGUUUCUUAAAAUAAUAUAUAGCUGCUUCUAGAAAAAUGUGACUAAACACCACAGAUACUUUAUUUAUUCAAGAGUUGGUUAAGCAGGGCAUGUGCUAGAACCAAUUGUUUUUGUGUUAAAUGCUGAACUUAUUAAUUGUAUAUUCUAUGAAUUAUGAUUUUUCAGUGAUUUUAAUAUUAAUAUGAAGAAUGAAUUUUGUCAAGAAACAUUCUCAUAUUUAGGCCACAAAAGAUGGUCAUUUAUCAAAGCAAAAAAUGAAGAAGACAGUCAAGAAGUAUUGCCCUCAAAUGCGAGUAUGCGACAUUGGAUCAAAUAAGGAUAUGUAAUGCACAGCAUUUGAAAAUGGAUCUUCUGAAAUUUGUCUUUUGAUUAGAUUGGUUCAGCAUGCCUAUUGCCUUAUUCAUUUAAUGACUAAUGUACAGGUGAGCACAGUGGAGGAUGCCAUGUCAAAAUUUUAUCCACAGCUGGAGGUAUCUUAUAAUAUAAAAAAUCCCUGUCAUUUAUAUUUUUUCCUCAUGAGCUUUUGACUCUUCCAACCCUAUCAACAAUCUUCUUGGUUAUUGCCUUCAGUCCGCUGCUAUUAUAUGGUCAAUUUCCGUAGUUUUGAUUUUCUAAAGGUUUUGAUUUUCAUCAUAUACUCUCACUCUCCCACUUUGUGGUUGAGUACCAUAAUCAACCUGGCUGCAGCAUGAAAGCUAGUGGAUUGGUGAUUGCCUUUCACUUGUCCUGUUGGCCUGUGUGUACCGUUGAUGUUUUCCUCCCUUCUCCUUUCCAUAUUAAUUGAUUAAACAAAUCAGUACAUGGUAUAACUGAACCAUCCAUGUGCUUCUGUGAUGAUUUGUUUUUGGGUUGGGUUGUUUGUAGUGCCAUCUUGUUGAUGGCUGAAACUCAUGGACAGAGACUAUAAUGGUGCAAGAUGCCGCUUUUCAACAUUAUGAAGCGGAUUUGCAGAAGAGAUCGGCAAAGAGCGGAGAUAAACCAAAUGGAUAUGUGCAGGAGUAAUAUUUCCCAACUCAUCAUCCUCAGUACUGGACGUGUCAUGUAAACAUUCUUUGUUAUUUCCAUCUUGUAGCAGUCAUAUAAACAUAUGAAAUCAAUUUUGCUCUGAGCUCAGGCACAAUAUAGAGUUUCAUCAA